CAAUCUAGUCCUCAUCUGCUGUUACUCUCCUCCGGCAUGUGUUCCCGUCCGCCGGCGGGCGCCGUUGCCGCCACAGGACGCCGGAGUUCUGGUGGGAGUAUCGCCACUUCUCCAGAUAGCACCUUCCCCUCCUCGACGGCUUCCUGAUCCUUUCCUCCGCCCCUUCUCGCCUCAGCAUGGGCUCUCAACGGAGACCAAGGGUGAGGUCUUCUGCGCGAUCCGCCGUGCGGCGGGAUCAACAACCAGAAGGGAUUUGGGUGUGCCCUCCCUCUCCGGCCGCCUGGGACCUUAUCCGAAUGGAGAGUUGCAGAAGAAUGGAGACAAAGAGGCGUUGGCAGAGGGAGCAGAAAUUCUCAAGGCGACAGCACUACAGUUGCAUCCACAUCAAGCCCCUUCGGACGACACAGUACUCUUACGAUUGUGCUGAACAUCUGGGAGCCAAAGGAGGGGAUAUGGAAUUGCUAAGUCAUCUUGAUCAAUCGAUGCUUUGAUUUCUGUCGUGUCACUCUGUCAUUGCGCCACCGGUCUGUAACUUGAAACUGGUACCUUGCUGGAGGUUUAGUUGCUUAGGCUGGGAAGUCCUGUGCGUUUUGUUAGUUGAUCUAGAAUUUCUGUCAGUGAUGCGGUAGUAGUGUUGAUACUUGAUAGGCAUCCCUUUGUGAUGCUUGGUGACUAGUGAUAUUUGUGUGGCCUGUAAUAACUGAACCUGGUGAUCGUGGAUAUGCUGAAUUUCGUUGCUUUUUGAGUAAUGAAAUUCGGUGAGGCCCAUGUUGAAGAAAAA